GAUGAAGAACGCAGCGAAACGCGAUAUGUAAUGUGAAUUGCAGAAUUCAGUGAAUCAUCGAAUCUUUGAACGCACAUGGCGCCUUCCAGUAUCCUGGGAGGCACGCCUGUCCGAGCGUCGUUUCAACCCUCGAGCCCCCGUGGCCCGGCGUUGGGGAUCUGCCCAGGCAGUCCCCGAAAACCAGUGGCGGACCCGUUACAGGCCCUUCCCUUGCGUAGUAGCAUUCGCCUCGCAUCGGGAGCCGGCGGGCUUCCAGCCUCUAAACCCCCAUCAAGUCCGCCCCGGCGGCACCAAGGUUGACCUCGGAUCAGGUAGGAAUACCCGCUGAACUUAAGCAUAUCAAAAGCGGAGGA
rnacentral:misc_RNA from 1 species